rnacentral:rRNA from 1 species
GACGUAGGGCGCGAGCGUUGUUCGGAUUUAUUGGGCGUAAAGAGCUCGUAGGCGGCUCGUUGCGUCGGCUGUGAAAACCCGCAGCUCAACUGUGGGCUUGCAGCUGAUACGGGCGGGCUGGGAUUCGGUAGGGGAGACUGGAAUUCCUGGUGUAGCGGUGAAAUGCGCAGAUAUCAGGAGGAACACCGGUGGCGAAGGCGGGUCUCUGGGCCGAUAUCGACGCUGAGGAGCGAAAGCGUGGGGAGCGAACAGG